CGAGUACAUGAGCAAUGUUAUGCUCAAAUUACCAGCUUUUGCAAUAACCUUCUCUUGUGGUUUCAAAAUUACCAGAGAUGGGUUCAUUCACUUCCCAUAUUUAAAAAAGAGAGAUGAAAGCACAAAAACUUCAAACUUCCCAGUUUAGCAACAACUCUCUUUUCAGAGAGCGAAUUUUUUCUAUUAUCCGAAUUGCCUUUUGUGUCAUUUUAUGUAGUAAGCUACCAUGGAAUCUUGAAGCAAUUAACACUAACAAUGAAAGAAUAGUUUCUGAACGGAUGAGGCUGUAAUGUGUAAAUUAUGUAAGAGGAAAGUUGCUCAUCAAAUCUAAACACAGUACUAAGGAAGUUCCAGAUGUUUGGAUUUGGCGCUAAAAUCCCAAAAAGCAAACGAAAGCCCGUCUGAGGAAUUUCACUUAGAAGAAUGAAAUGGAAGCAUUACUGCUGAAGAGAAAAAAAAAAGGAACGAAAAUUUCUUCAAUUUAUCGAGGAGGGGAACAGUUUUUCAGAAAGACCGAUGUAGUUAUCGAGCCAAAGCAGCAAAAACACAAAUGAAGCAACAAAAAUGGAAGCAAAGGGAUACGCAAACAAACAAAG
rnacentral:misc_RNA from 1 species